UGCGAUGGGGCACACCUGGCUUUGGU
rnacentral:piRNA from 1 species